rnacentral:lncRNA from 1 species
AGGCUGCCGUGCCUGAGAGCGCAAACGGUUCAAGGGAUGGGCCAAGUGAUUCCAGGAAUUCACGUCAACAUAGCCGUGACCCAGUUGAAGGCCCUAAUUCUAAAAGGCAAAGGAGGUAUUGCACGUCUCGCACAUGUUUUAUCUAUUUUCUUAUGGUAAUAAUUAUAGAUGUUUCAUUGCAUUGAUUUGUUUGAUCUAUUCAUGUCAUGAUUUCCCUCGUAAGUGUUCUUGAAAUAUCUGUUGGCUAAUCAUUUGACCUGUGUUGAACUUCUUGCAGAAUGAGUGAGUGAUUCAGGUGGGCUUGUUAUUGUUGGGUGGGCGCUGCUUUUGCAGUCUGAGCUGAGAAAUUUUUCCAGUUGCUGCUACACCAGAGAAUUCAUGAUGAUGAUACCGUGAGUCAUAAUCUUAUUGAGACAAGUGGAAUUGUUUCGAGUGUAUAGUCGAGCCUUGGGAUGUUAGGCGGUUCAUAACCUGUGCUAUUCCUUCUUUGCACAGCAGUUCCUGUAAUCCUUUUUACUUUUUUGAUGAGAGCAUAAGAUGUUUUGCAAACUGGUAUCCAUCUCCAAUAUGUGGAAGUCAAUUAUAUUUUGGGGUGGAAAUAUCCGCGCGAUCAAUAAAGCCUGG